rnacentral:rRNA from 1 species
GAUGAACGCUGGCGGCGUGCCUAAUACAUGCAAGUCGAGCGAACAGACGAGGAGCUUGCUCCUCUGACGUUAGCGGCGGACGGGUGAGUAACACGUGGAUAACCUACCUAUAAGACUGGGAUAACUUCGGGAAACCGGAGCUAAUACCGGAUAAUAUAUUGAACCGCAUGGUUCAAUAGUGAAAGACGGUUUUGCUGUCACUUAUAGAUGGAUCCGCGCCGCAUUAGCUAGUUGGUAAGGUAACGGCUUACCGAGGCAACGAUGCGUAGCCGACCUGAGAGGGUGAUCGGCCACACUGGAACUGAGACACGGUCCAGACUCCUACGGGAGGCAGCAGUAGGGAAUCUUCCGCAAUGGGCGAAAGCCUGACGGAGCAACGCCGCGUGAGUGAUGAAGGUUUUCGGAUCGUAAAACUCUGUUAUUAGGGAAGAACAAAUGUGUAAGUAACUAUGCACGUCUUGACGGUACCUAAUCAGAAAGCCACGGCUAACUACGUG